UUGGUCAAUUAGAGGAAGUAAAAGUCGUAACAAGGUUUCCGUAGGUGAACCUGCGGAAGGAUCAUUAACGAAUUCAUAAUUCGGCGAGGGGAACGCGGAGGGUUGUAGCUGGCCUUUUUACCGAGGCACGUGCACGCUCUCUUCCGAACUCUCGCCGUAUGGGCGCGGGGCAACCCGCGUCUUUCAUACCACCUCUUCGUGUAGAAAGUCUUUGAAUGUUUUUACCAUCAUCGAGUCGCGACUUCUAGGAGACGCGAUUCUUUGAGACAAAAGUUUAUUACAACUUUCAGCAAUGGAUCUCUUGGCUCUCGCAUCGAUGAAGAACGCAGCGAAUCGCGAUAUGUAAUGUGAAUUGCAGAUCUACAGUGAAUCAUCGAAUCUUUGAACGCACCUUGCGCUCCUCGGUGUUCCGAGGAGCAUGCCUGUUUGAGCGUCAGUAAAUUCUCAACCCCUCUCGAUUUGCUUCGAGAGGGUGCUUGGAUGGUGGGGGCUGCCGGAGACCUGGAUUUAUCCUGGACUCGGGCUCUCCUGAAAUGCAUCGGCUCGCGGUCGACUUUCGACUUUGCGCGACAAGGCCUUCGGCGUGAUAAUGAUCGCCGUUCGCCGAAGCGCAUGAAUGAAUGGUCCCGCGCCUCUAAUCCGUCGACGCUUUCGAGCGUCUUCCUCAUUGACGUUUGACCUCAAAUCAGGUAGGACUACCCGCUGAACUUAAGCAUAUCAAUA
rnacentral:rRNA from 1 species